rnacentral:ncRNA from 1 species
GGGUGAGUCAGGGCCUAAGAUCAGGCCGAAAGGCGUAGUCGAUGGACAACAGGUCAAUAUUCCUGUACUACCCCUUGUUGGUACGGAGGGACGGAGGAGGCUAGGUUAGCCGAAAGAUGGUUAUAGGUUUAAGGACACAAGGUGACCCCACUUUUUCAGGGUAAGAAGGGGUAGAGAAAAUGCCUCGAGCCGAGGUCCGAGUACCAAGCGCUGCAGCGCUGAAGUAUG